UAGCGCGUCACUCACGGUCAAUCCAUCAGCCGGGCAGGACCUUACGUCUCUUCUGCCGAGACCACGAUUUUAAGCCGAAAUUUUAAGUUUCUUUGCUCCAGUAGAGCAAUCAGUCACUAGAGGUCACAGUUUUAAACUACAAGUUCCCCUGGCCAAGACUAGAGCGAGGAGUCAGGUUUUCAGUGUUAGAACCGUGUCAAGCUGGAACGCCCUACCUGAGUCAGUGGUUUCAGCGGAUAGUGUAAACCAGUCCAGACUUGACAAACACUGGGAUUGCCGAAAGUAUAUCACGUGAAGAGCGAAGUCAAGAUCAAGACACAACAGGCUGAAAAGCAUUCUUUCCUGGAUGCAGUAUCAAGGUAAAUGCUGUACUAUGCCACGACGGCAUAGUAUUAGCACCAGUGGCUGCUACGGGCUUCGCAGUGAGUUCAGAGCAUUUGCGAGUUACACCAAGACGUCAAGACAAUGCUCGAGGACAUGCAAGGACUUACUUCUAAAGCUUAGCCCGACUAGAAGAUCCGGAGAUGCUUAAUCUUGAAGAGAAGACAUUCCCUGCAUGGACCGUUCGUCAGUUGCCUGCCCCCAUGUUUUUCAUCGAGACAAUGAGCUGAUGAACAUGCAGUCAACCCGACAUCCGACAAGAAAUGUCUGGUACGGGAGGUGUCCAGCGCCAGUCACUAAAGGUGCUUCACUGCAUCGAGUGCAUCACCAAUUACAAGCCAGGGAUCUAAGCGUCAAGCGAUUCUACGGACUUAAUGUGGUUUUUAAAGUAAGA